UGGGGAAUAUUGCACAAUGGGCGCAAGCCUGAUGCAGCCAUGCCGCGUGUAUGAAGAAGGCCUUCGGGUUGUAAAGUACUUUCAGCGGGGAGGAAGGGAGUAAAGUUAAUACCUUUGCUUAUUGACGUUACCCGCAGAAGAAGCACCGGCUAACUCCGUGCCAGCAGCCGCGGUAAUACGGAGGGUGCAAGCGUUAAUCGGAAUUACUGGGCGUAAAGCGCACGCAGGCGGUUUGUUAAGUCAGAUGUGAAAUCCCCGGGCUUAACCCGGGAAUUGCAUCUGAUACUGGUCAGCUAGAGUCUUGUAGAGGGGGGUAGAAUUCCAUGUGUAGCGGUGAAAUGCGUAGAGAUGUGGAGGAGUACCGGUGGCGAAGGCGGCCCCCUGGACAAAGACUGACGAUCAGGUGCGAAAGCGUAGGGAGCAAACAGG
rnacentral:rRNA from 1 species